rnacentral:rRNA from 1 species
ACUCUCAGCAACGGAUAUCUUGGCUCUUGCCACGAUGAAGAACGCAGCGAAAUGCGAUACGUGAUGUGAAUUGCAGAACUCCGUGAAUCAUUGAAUCUUUGAACGCAACUUGGGCCCGGG